rnacentral:rRNA from 1 species
GGUGGAAAGAUUUAUCGGUGCGAGAUGGGCCCGCGGCCUAUCAGCUUGUUGGUGAGGUAACGGCUCACCAAGGCGACCACGGGUAGCCGACCUGAGAGGGUGACCGGCCACACUGGGACUGAAACACGGCCCAGACUCCUACGGGAGGCAGCAGUGGGGAAUAUUGCACAAUGGGCGAAAGCCUGAUGCAGCGACGCCGCGUGCGGGAUGACGGCCUUCGGGUUGUAAACCGCUUUUGACAGGGACGAAGCGCGAGUGACUGUACCUGUAGAAUAAGGACCGGCCAACUACGUGCCAGCAGGCGCGGUAAUACGUAGGGUCCGAGCGUUGUCCGGAAUUACUGGGCGUAAAGAGCUUGUAGGCGGUUCGUCGCGUCGUUUGUGAAAACUUGGGGCUCAACCUUAAGCUUGCAGGCGAUACGGGCGGACUAGAGUACUUCACGUGAGACUGGAAUUCCUGGUGUAGCGGUGAAAUGCGCAGAUAUCAGGAGGAACACCGGUGGCGUAGUCGGGUCUCUGGGAAGUAACUGACGCUGAGAAGCGAAAGCAUGGGUAGCAAACAGGAUUAGAUACCCUGGUAGUCCAUGCCGUAAACGGUGGGUACUAGGUGUGGGGCUCCUUCCACGGACUCCGUGCCGUAGCUAACGCAUUAAGUACCCCGCCUGGGGAGUACGGCCGCAAGGCUAAAACUCAAAGGAAUUGACGGGGGCCCGCACAAGCGGCGGAGCAUGUGGAUUAAUUCGAUGCAACGCGAAGAACCUUACCUGGGUUUGACAUACACCAGAAAGCCGUAGAGAUACGGCCCCCCUUGUGGUUGGUGUACAGGUGGUGCAUGGCUGUCGUCAGCUCGUGUCCUGAGAUGUUGGGUUAAGUCCCGCAACGAGCGCAACCCUUAUCUUAU